GGGGCUUCUGCUGGGAGCUCCAGUGCUUAACUUACUUUCAAAGCCCUUUCUUGCAGUUGCAGAGGUCUUAUAUCUCGGUGGCUCAUCUCUCAGAAAGGAGGGUACCUAGAGAGAGGGGAGUUCAUGUUUAUGAAUGUCCUCAGAUAUCCCACAGAAUCCUUUACAGUGGCUGUGGAAACUCUCCAAAGAAACUGUCAUCAAAACUCUGGCAAAGAGAUUCUGAAAAGCGCUGAGAUCACAGCACAUAAAUGGUGAUGCUAUUUUGAGGAGUCCCCAUUAACGCAUCUGCAGCUGUAGAAGGUCAUGCCAUUUGGGGACUCUCAUCAUUGCUAACACAAAUGGUUUCAAUGUGUCCUAGAAAGGGAUUUGUCACCAUACGGAACUAAUAAUUGAUUCUGUCUACUACAUGUAUACCUCUGAUCUUUGAGAAAUUGGUUGAAAUUACUCCAGUUUGAAUAGGUUUGAAAGUAUCAGGUGUAACAUUACAUUUUUCAGUAGAGAAGAUUAUAUAUCAAAAAAGAAAUUCAUCCUUUAAAAAAAGAACUUGCCAUUGGCCAUGUCCAUUUUUGCAUCCCUGACUUCUUUUUCAGCCUUUUGACAGGGAAUUUUAUGAAACGGAGAUAUUCAAAAGUCUCCUUAAUUUCUCUUAAAAUAGUUUUUGAAUCACCAAUAAAUAUGUAGUCUGCUUUGA